rnacentral:lncRNA from 10 species
GUAGGCGGGAAGAAUGAGCAUCCCUCUUCACGGGUGCCCUGCGAGCUACUGUAGGAAGGAGAAACACUGGCUGAUCCCCCAGGACUCUGAGCAUGGUUAGCUCUGUAACUGCCCGGGCAGAAAGGAUCCCAAAGAGAGGACAAUGAAUUCUUCCCCUAGAGGUGCAGACUUUUAUCCCUGGCACCAGUGCCUGGGGCUCCGGGGAAGGGAGGGCAUCUCCUCGGGGUCUAAGGCCACUCCUUGGUUGGGGGCCCCUCACGAGGUGACUUUGUCCUGCGCACUCUCUUAAGAACCAGGUGGGAACCAGGGGCCACCUGGUGCCGCUUCACUACCUUGGUGGCAGGGAACAGAGCAGCCUGGGAAUCCACCCAAGGUGGAAUGGGGCCCCCUGGGUGCUGUGGCUGGCUGAGCAGGGAAGUUUCAUGGGGAAGAGGCAGGUGUAAAAGGUUCUGGGUUCCGCAGGGAGAGGACAGUGAUCCUCGGAGAGCAAACAGCUGGAACCAAAGCACAGAAGGUUUUGACGGUCACCCGGGCUAUCCAGAGGCCCACUUCACAGUUAGGGCAGGGCCUGCAGAUUAGAGUUGAGGCACAGGAAGUGGCAGAGUGAUAAAGGCUGACAGCUGGACACACAGGAGCAUCUUGGAGGCCCUAGGCUGAGCACUGGGGGCUACAAAGGGGAGCAGACCAGACACAGUGUCUGUCCUCAGGGAGUGCACAGUCUGGGUUGUGAUCGCGUAAAAACUGUCACAGUGCUUCAGGCCGCUGUGAACUGAAGGGCCGUGCACUGAUGCAGGAUUUGACCUGCCCUGUCCCCAAGCAAGAGGAUUCACCUGACCUUGGUGGCCUAAGCAGGCACCGACCUAGGCAAAUCUAGGCCAGGUGUCAAGGAGCAGAAUGAACCACGGGCCAGCCAGCAGCACAUGCACAGCAGUCAGGCACGCACAGGUGCUUGAAAGAAGGCCGUGGCUGGCCGCUGGUGGGCGGGGGAGCUCGGGAGCUCACAGCAAGCCCCAUGCCUGUCUCCCACUGGAUGAAGCCAGAGGGGGUCUGGAACGCCCUUUCUCCUCUGGUCAGAUUGGGAACAAUUCAUAAUGAGCGGGGCUAAGACACAGAACAGCAGAGAGGCAGGAAAGAAGAAAGAGACCAAGGUGCGAGGAGCGGACAGGGAAAGAGACCUCAACAUGACCAGGGAUGGGAGGAGAGAACUCCAUUACUUAGAAACAGUGGCUGCUAUGCUGGGAAGUGUGGACUGUUACAGUGGGCUCUAAUUCCAGGAGGAACAAAAAGACCCCGCAUAUCACCAUGAGUCAGUCCUCUGAGUCGCCAUGACCCAUGACCUUGCUAAACAAGUGUGGGGCUGUCACAGCCUUAAGCAGCACAUCUCAAGUCUCACAUUCUCCAGUGCUAAGAAAACAGCUACACAGACAGAAUGCUAAGGAGAGCUCAGAAGUAGAAAACCCUUAAGAGUCCCCCCUUCCUUAGAUAGGAAAACUGAGGCCCAGAGAGGCAAACAAUGGGUCAGUAUGUGUGUCUAAACUUAUCUAAACAUAGAAGAGGUAUAGUAAAAAUACGGUAUUAGAAUCUGAUGGGAGCACCAUCGUAUACGCAGUCUGUAGUUGACCAGAACAUUGGUAUGCGGCACAUGACUGUAGAUCUUCUCAUUAAUAAUAGGCAACCUGGUCAGGUGCACGAAGUCUAGGGUUCAGAAUCCAACAGGCUCAAAUUCAAGUCCAGCUCAGCCACGUGGCUGAGUGCUGUCUGAACCUCAGCGUCCUCAGCUGUUAAACAGAGUGUCUCUCGAGAAUGAAAAUGACCAGGCCAUCCUCACAUUCUACAGAGGUUAACCCAGCAACUUAGGGACACAGCUGGGGCAGGACUCCCGGGCUCCUGGUCAGUCCCUCUAUGGGGAUGCUAAGCCUCAGGGCUGACAUCUCUUAGCUCUGCCUUCCAGGGAGAAUUUCACAGGGCCUCCCAUUUGUGCUGCUGUGAAGGCCGUCCUGCUCCUUGUCAAGCCUGUCUUCUCCGUGGCUUGAGGAAGAUCUCUUUCGUGCCCAAAUUGUGAAUAAGUAAACUGGAUGCAGCAUCUCUGAUUGCUCUGGGAAGAAAUUUAUGAGAAGUGCCUGAGAAAAGUCAUGAUUUUAUGCCUCUGCUAAGCAACCUGUUGGACACUGCUUGGUAUCUACAGCUAAGUGGUUCCCUGUUCAGACCUGCUUCCUCUGAUUAGCAGCCACAGAUCUUCUGGGUUUUCACUUGUUUAUUUCUGUUUAUUGUCAUCUCUGGGAAGAUGGCUUCAAAUUUUUUAUCCCCCAAUUAUUUAACCCCAUAUCAAUUGAUAAGAAGAUCUUUUCUUUCUUUCUUUCUUUCUUUCUUUUCUUUUCUUUCUUUCUUCCUUUUUUUUUUUUUUUUUUUCGAGAUAGAGCCUCACUGUGUCACCCAGGCUGGAGUGCAGUGGGGUGAUCUUGGCUCACUGCAACCUCCACCUACCAGGUUCAAGCAAUCCUCCUGCCACAGCCUCCCAAGUAGCUGGGAUUACAGAUGAGUCCCACCACACCCAGCUAAUUUUUGUAUUUUUUUUUAUAGAGACAGGGUUUCGCCAUGUUGCUUAGGCUUGUCUGGAACUCCUGAGCUCAAAUGAUCUGCCUGCUUCGACCUCGCAAAGUGCGGGGAAGUUAUAAUUGAAGGGUGUGAUGGUUAAUUUUUGGUGUCAACUUGACUGGGUUAAGGGAUACCCAGAUAGCUGGUACAGCAUUGUCUCUGGGGAUGUCUUUGAGUGUGUUUCUGGUAGAGGUUGGCAUUUGGAUCAGUGAACUGAGUGAGGAAGGAAGAUUCAUCCUCACCUGUGUGGGCUGGGCUCCAUCCAAUCAGUUGAAUUCCUCAAUAGAACAAAAGGGCUGAGGAAAGGCAAAUUCACUCCCUUUUCUGAAGCUGGGACACCCUCCUUCUCCCGCGCUUGGACAUCAGCACUCCAGGGUCUCCAGCCGUCGGACUCCAGGACCUGCACCGAUGGCCCCUCAGGUUCUCAGGCCUUUGCACUCAGACUGAGCUAUGUCACCAGCUUCCCUGGUUCUCUAGCUUGUAGACAGCAAAUCAUAGGACUUCUCAGCCUCCAUAAUCAUGUGAGCCAAUUUCCAAAUUAAAUCCCCUCUCAUUUAUCUAUAUCUCUAUCUAUCUUAUUUGGUUGUUUCUCUGGAGAAUCCUGAUACAAAGGGUUUACAUUGAAUGUCAUUCGCAUAUGGUUAUAUAAAUAGUAGCCGUUUUAACACCCUCAUCUAAUUCUAUCAUGAAUGUCAUUUCUGGAUCUGUUUAUAUUGAUUGAUUUUUCUCCAGAUCCUAGGUCAUAUUAUCCUGCUUCUUUGCAAGCCCAGUAUUUUUGUUUGGACACGGGACAUUGUCAGUUUUGUACUGUUGGUGGCUAGAUUUUAUUAUAUUCCUUUAAACAGUGUUGUGCUUUGUUCUGAGAUGCAGUAAAGUUACUUACGAUUAGUUUGAUCUUUUUGAGCCUUGAUGUUCAACAUUGUUACGGCAGAUCCAGAACAGCCUUUGUUUUAGGACUAAUUUGUCACCUCUUUGAGGCAAUUCUCUUCUACUUUUCUCCUCGAUGUCCUGAAUUUUAGGGGGUCUUCCCAGUCUGGCUGAUGGAAAUGUAGUUUUUGUUGCAUAAAAUUUACCUCAAAACUUAGCAGCUUGAAUCAACAGGUAUUUAUUCCCUGCAGUUUCUUGUGUCAGGAAUCCAGGAGUGGCCCAGCUGGUGGCUCUAACUCAAGCUCUCUCGUGAGGUCGCAGUCAAGGUGAUGGCUGGAUUGGAGCCCUCUGACUGGGGCCAAAGGAUCUGCCUCCAGGACGGUGACUCACAUGGCUGUAGCCAGGGGCUCCAUUUCUUGCCUCAUGGACCUGUCCGGAGGCUGAUUGAGCAAUACAGCUUCUGGCUUUCCCCCAGAGGGGCUGACCCAAGAGAGAGCAAGCAGGAGCCACAAGGCUUUCUACACCCUAGUCUCUAAAGUCACAAACCAUCAUCGUCACUUUCACCACAUUCUGUCCUUUAGAAACAUAUUAGUAAGCCCAGCCCACAUUCAAGGGAGGUAGGUGUAGGCGCCUCUUUUUGAAAGGAAGACUAUCAGAUAAUUUAGGGAUCUAUUUCUAAGCUGCUCUCACAGACACACAAUAUCCCCAGGCCUGAGUGAUUUCUGGAGAUCGUUCUGCCUGCAAGCUCCUUCCUUGGUGGUUUCCUCACAUUCAUGUGCAGACCAGUACUCAGCUGAAGACUCAAGGCACUCCUUGCAGAUCUCUGAACCAUUCUCUGUGGCUCCUUCUUCUGCAGAUCUCUGCCCUGCAAAUUCUAGCUCCCUUGGCCUCCCGGAAGCCCACACUCCAUCUCCUGAGCUGGGCAGGCCCUCAGGCUCUGUUUGGGCUCCCUCUCCUGGCACUGCUGAGGUGGACACUUGUGAGGCUGCUCUUAUUGCUUCCCCUCUCCCAGGAAUCCCUGUCCUGUUCUGCCUAUUGUCCAGUGUCCACUAACUGUUGUUUCACAUACUUGUCCAGCUUUCCGGCUGUUUUUAAGACAGGAGGGUAAACCUGCUCCCUGUUAUUCCAUCAGGACCAGAAGUGGGACUCCCCAGCAGCGGUGCUGGCUCCUGAAAAUGAGUCAGCGGCCAUGUAGCAGAGGGGAGACUGACACCCUCCCCUCUUCUUCUUCUUUUUUUUUUUUUUUAAUUAUACCUUAAGUUGUGGGAUACAUGUGCAGAACGUGCGGGUUUGUUAUAUAGGUAUACACAUGCCAUGGUGAUUUGCUGCACCCAUCAACUCAUCAUCUACAUUAGGUGUUUCUCCUAAUGCUAUCCCUCCCCUAGCCCCCCACUCCCCAACAGGCCCCAGUGUGUGAUGUUCCCCUCCCUGUGUCCAUGUGUUCUCAUUAUUCAACUCCCACUUAUGAGUGAGAACAUGCGGUGUUUGGUUUUCCGUUCCUGUGUUAGUUUGCUGAGAAUGAUGGCUUCCAGCUUCAUCCAUGCCCCUACAAAGGACAUGACCUCAUCUUUUUUAUGGCUGCAUAGUAUUCCAUGGUGUAUAUGUGCCACUUUUUCUUUAUCCAGUCCAUCAUUGAUGGGCAUUUGGGUUGGUUCCAAGUCUUUGCUAUUGUAAAUAGUGCUGCAAUAAACAUACAUAUGCAUGUGUCUUUAUAGUAGAAUGAUUUAUAAUCCUUUGGGUAUAUACCCAGUAAUGGGAUUGCUGGGUCAAAUGGUAUUUCUGGUUCUAGAUCCUUUAGGAAUCGCUACACUGUCUUCCACAAUGGUUGAACUAAUUUACACACCCACCAACAGUGUAAAAGUGUUCCUAUUUCUCCACAUCCUCUCCAG